AUUGAACGCUGGCGGCAUGCUUUACACAUGCAAGUCGGACGAGUGGCGGACGGGUGAGUAAUAUAUUGGAACCUACCUAGUAAUGGGGGAUAACUACUCGAAACAUUGGCUAAUACCGCAUACCAUCCGAUCGGCCCAUAUCUGAUUAGCUAGUUGGUGGGGUAAUGGCCUACCAAGGCGACGAUCAGUAGCUGGUCUGAGAGGAUGAGCCGCCACACUGGAACUGAGACACGGCCCAGACUCCUACGGGAGGCAGCAGUGGGGAAUUUUGGACAAUGGGCGCAAGCCUGAUGCAGCCAUGCCGCGGGUGUGAAGAAGGCCUUCGGGUUGUAAAGGACUUUUGUUAGGGAAGCGGUACUUGAAGAAUAAGCACCGGCUAACUACGUGCCAGCAGCCGCGGUAAUUC
rnacentral:rRNA from 1 species